UACGUAGGGUGCGAGCGUUGUCCGGAAUUAUUGGGAGUAAAGAGCUCGUAGGCGGUUUGUCGCGUCGGCCGUGAAAACUUGGGGCUUAACUCCAAGCUUGCGGUCGAUACGGGCAGACUUGAGUUCGGCAGGGGAGACUGGAAUUCCUGGUGUAGCGGUGAAAUGCGCAGAUAUCAGGAGGAACACCGGUGGCGAAGGCGGGUCUCUGGGCCGAUACUGACGCUGAGGAGCGAAAGCGUGGGGAGCGAACAGG
rnacentral:rRNA from 1 species